UACAGGCGGACACACAAACCACAGAGUUUCCUAAAACUAACUAGAGGGGACUCUGGCGCUGCGAUCAUUCAGCCACCAUGGGAAUGAUGGGUAGUACACAGACUUGCCUAGUCUUCGUACU
rnacentral:lncRNA from 1 species